AUGGCGGAGCAUUGCAAGAUCUCUGUUGCCAUGGCAUCCGAGGAAAGGUCGUUUGUGCUCAAGGUAAGUGAGUACUCAAGAGCCAAGGCACUACUGAAGAACGGCGAGGCCGUGACCUCUACUCCUUUCAGUGUUGGCGGACACGACUGGGCCUUGAGAUAUUACCCAAACGGCAACAAGGGUUCUGCCGAUUUCAUAUCUCUUUUUCUAGUAUUACUCGAAUCUGCCGAUGCCAAAGAUGUCAAGGCGAAAUUCAUGCUCUGUGUACUUAAUAAGAAUGGACAACCGCUGCCUUCAUACAGCCGUACGUUCCCUAUGGGUACCUUCUCAGGCGAAGGUGAUAGCUGGGGUUACCAUAACUUCAUCAAGAAGGCUGAUCUAGAAGGAUCACAGCUUCUGAAAGAUGACUGUCUCACCAUCACGUGCGAUGUCACUGUCAUAAAGGAGAUCCACGGCGAAGAAGAAACAAGGGUUCCUCCAAGCGACUUGCACCAACAUCUCGGCGACCUCCUCAACAGCAAGGAUGCGGCAGACCUGACCUUUCAAGUCGGCGGACAGACACUCUCUGCUCACAGGUGUGUCCUCGCUGCUCGCUCAUCCGUCUUCAAGGCGGAGCUCCUUGGCGCUAUGAAGGAGAGUUCUGCCGUUAGUCCUAUUGAAAUUCAUGACAUGGAAGCUGAUGUGUUCAAGUCCUUGCUCCACUUUAUAUACACCGAUUUGGUUCCUUCUGUGCUUGAUGUGGUGAUAGCCAGCCAUCUGCUCGUAGCGGCUGACAGAUACAACAUCGUCAGGCUGAAGCUGAUAUGCGAGGAGAAAUUGUGUAAUCACAUUGAUUCCAAAAUGGUAGCCACCAGUUUGGCUUUAGCAGAGCAGCAUGGUUUCCAUCGUCUCAAAGAGGCUUGUUUGCAGUUCCUUGCCUCUCCUUCCAAUUUCAAGGCUAUGAUGGCAAGCGGCGGUUAUGAGCAUCUCAAGUCUAGCUGCCCAUCGGUUCUCAAGGAGCUCAUAGCUAGAAUCCUCCCGGCUGAAUGGGACGUGGCAAAGGAUAUGGUCAUGGAAAUUUAG
rnacentral:rRNA from 1 species